rnacentral:rRNA from 1 species
UACGUAGGGUGCAAGCGUUGUCCGGAAUUAUUGGGCGUAAAGAGCUCGUAGGCGGUCUGUCGCGUCGGCUGUGAAAACUCGGGGCUCAACCCCGAGCCUGCAGUCGAUACGGGCAGACUAGAGUGCUGUAGGGGAGACUGGAAUUCCUGGUGUAGCGGUGAAAUGCGCAGAUAUCAGGAGGAACACCGGGUGGCGAAGGCGGGUCUCUGGGCAGUAACUGACGCUGAGGAGCGAAAGCGUGGGGAGCGAACAGG